rnacentral:rRNA from 1 species
CCUACGGGGAGCAGCAGUGAGGAAUAUUGGUCAAUGGACGAGAGUCUGAACCAGCCAAGUAGCGUGAAGGAUGACUGCCCUAUGGGUUGUAAACUUCUUUUAUAUGGGAAUAAAAUGUUCCACGUGUGGGAUUUUGUAUGUACCAUAUGAAUAAGGAUCGGCUAACUCCGUGCCAGCAGCCGCGGUAAUACGGAGGAUCCGAGCGUUAUCCGGAUUUAUUGGGGGUAAAGGGAGCGUAGGUGGAUUGUGAAGGCAGUUGUGAAAGUUUGCGGCUCAACCGUAAAAUUGCAGUUGAAACUGGCAGUCUUGCGUACAGUAGAGGUGGGCGGAAUUCGUGGUGUAGCGGUGAAAUGCUUAGAUAUCACGAAGAACUCCGAUUGCGAAGGCAGUUCACUGGACUGCAACUGACACUGAGGCUCGAAAGUGUGGGUAUCAAACAGGAUUAGAUACCCGUGUAGUC